UACGUAGGUCCCGAGCGUUGUCCGGAUUUAUUGGGCGUAAAGCGAGCGCAGGUGGUUUAUUAAGUCUGGUGUAAAAGGCAGUGGCUCAACCAUUGUAUGUAUUGGAAACUGGUAGACUUGAGUGCAGGAGAGGAGAGUGGAAUUCCAUGUGUAGCGGUGAAAUGCGUAGAUAUAUGGAGGAACACCGGUGUCGAAAGCGGCUCUCUGGCCUGUAACUGACACUGAGGCUCGAAAGCGUGGGGAGCAAACAGG
rnacentral:rRNA from 1 species